ensembl:lncRNA novel transcript
GAGGAAAAUGGUGCAGGCAGAGCGCACCUGGUCUCGGGAAAAUGCUGCCCGCGACAACCCACUGCGGGACCCUAAAUGUCUCGACAAUAAGGCCUCCUCGGCACGUCUCUGAGGUCGGGUCCCGCUGGAGGAGGAGGCGUUUCGAAACUGUGAGGUUGGAACCACUCUUUUGGUACCAUCUUCAAAGAGACAUUUCAGAUCCCAUUGAGGCGUACAGAGGAAAACCAAAUAUCCUGCAAUUAAAAACUAGAAAC